rnacentral:rRNA from 1 species
GUGAAAAGCACCCCGGAAGGGGAGUGAAAUAGAACCUGAAACCGUGUGCUUACAAGUAGUCAGAGCCCGUUAAUGGGUGAUGGCGUGCCUUUUGUAGAAUGAACCGGCGAGUUACGAUUUGAUGCAAGGUUAAGCAGUAAAUGUGGAGCCGUAGCGAAAGCGAGUCUGAAUAGGGCGUUUAGUAUUUGGUCGUAGACCCGAAACCAGGUGAUCUACCCUUGGUCAGGUUGAAGUUCAGGUAACACUGAAUGGAGGACCGAACCGACUUACGUUGAAAAGUGAGCGGAUGAACUGAGGGUAGCGGAGAAAUUCCAAUCGAACCUGGAGAUAGCUGGUUCUCUCCGAAAUAGCUUUAGGGCUAGCCUCAAGUGAUGAUUAUUGGAGGUAGAGCACUGUUUGGACGAGGGGCCCCUCUCGGGUUACCGAAUUCAGACAAACUCCGAAUGCCAAUUAAUUUAACUUGGGAGUCAGAACAUGGGUGAUAAGGUCCGUGUUCGAAAGGGAAACAGCCCAGACCACCAGCUAAGGUCCCAAAAUAUAUGUUAAGUGGAAAAGGAUGUGGCGUUGCCCAGACAACUAGGAUGUUGGCUUAGAAGCAGCCAUCAUUUAAAGAGUGCGUAAUAGCUCACUAGUCGAGUGACACUGCGCCGAAAAUGUACCGGGGCUAAACAUAUUACCGAAGCUGUGGAUUGUCCUUUGGACAAUGGUAGGAGAGCGUUCUAAGGGC